UCGCCCCCCGGGGGGCCGGGACUACACUUCCCAGGAGCCCCCGCGCCUCGUCCCCCCCUCCUCUCGCGAGACUUUGCAGGCGCACGCGGGCCGCUCUCCCUUUCCCCGCGCCGACAUGGCGGCCGCGCAGCGCUCGGUGGCAGCACGUUGUCGAGCAAGCAUAAAAAUGCGCCUUGCACUCACCUUUCGGGGAAGCUGAUUCUUCCACUCCGUUGGCAGCAGACCUGCACCAUCAGCACAUGGGAGGAAAACAUGCUGUAGAAUCCUGGGUUGCGUCUUCCCCAAGGACAGCUUUGGCAAGCAGGCAGCUCUGAAGUCGGGCGUCGAACUGGCGGCUGACAGCUGCGUUCUGCUGGGAGUUCCAUGCUUUAUUUAACAGAACCCGAAUUUGUUUGCAGAUCAAUAAUGGUCGGUGACGGGCUGAACCGGCAGGCUUGACGACAGUGGACUGCCUCCGUCCUUAAGUACAGGACCUGCUCUGCAGCUGGCUGGAGGAAGGAGUGGUUCCCUGCAGUCUUCUAUUCCAGAAUAAAACACAAAAGUAUUGAAACUGG